AUGAAAACCCUAGAUGCACAGCAUCAUAUACCCACACUAAAAGCCAAAGUAACAAAGAUAGAGUCUGUUAAAAAUGUGUUUUUUAACAAGACUGAAGCAGAGGUAAUGAACUGUUGGAUAACUGAUGAAACCGGAGGAAUUCAAAUUGCCUUGUGGGACAACUUCAUUAGUGACGUCUAUCAAGGAAACUCGUAUAACUUUACGAACCUGAUGACAAAAAGGUACCAACAAAAAACCUUUUUACAAUCAACCAGACACACAACAAUUACACCUUUAAAAAUUCAAAUUUCUACUGGACCACUUCAUCAAAUGUCUGAGGAUGAAAUUACUCCUCACAAAAACAUCACCUCUGCUUUACAAGGUGUGCAAAUAAACAUCAGUAAACACUGCCCAAAGUGUGCCACUCUUCAACAAGAUUUUUCUCCACAAUGUGCUUUCCACCGCUGCACAAAGUGCAAAAUGUUAAGGAGUGGCACCGCUUACGUCACAAAACUUGGUGGCAUUUUGGAGUUUAAAGAGAACAAAACGGAGCUCUCUUUAACAGUGUCAAAUUCCAUUUUGAAGAGAUUUUUAGCACCACUACUUGACCUGGGCAACACCGAUGCCCAGGACAUCGAACAGAUGUUCCUGGCCAUGAAAAGUUUAACAGUAACAUUUACACACAACAUGCAGGUUCUACAAAUGCAAAAAACACCCAACGACAAUACUGAUGAGGAACUUCUUCACAUUGAAGAAACUCAAUUGUCACCAGAACCUGCUGCACUUUUUAUCCCGCAAAAAACACCAGUAAAAGAAACCAAACAUUCAAACGAUGAACCGUUUCUUCAAAUUGUAGAAACCGAAUCGUCACAAGAACCUGCUGCACUUUUCAUCCCACAAAAAAGACCUGUAACAGAAACCAAACAUUCAUGUAAAAAAACAAAGUGUGAUAGACUUGUGUUAAGUUUAUACAACCUGUAUAACUUGUAUUUUCUUGUAAAAAAAAAAAAAAAAAUUGUAGAUGUAGAUCUAUAGGGGUUUACUUUUCAGUGGUUAAAAUGUUUGUUUAUUUUCCCCCCAUUUCUAGUUGCUAAAAUUUGUAAUGGAAAUAUACGUUGCUGUAAAAAUGAUUUAAUUGUGAAGCUUUCUUCUACUUGAUUAAAUGUUUAAGUUUUGCAACUAUACAGGAUGCUUUCUUUAUCAAUGUUUUACUUUUGAUGGUUCCUUUUUUCACCCAAAUUUAUUUCCUUCUAAAUAAAUGCAAUACAACACUAACUUUUGUCCUCUAU
ensembl:lncRNA